AAAGUCCAGCGCAUAAUCUCCCGGGUUACCAAACCUGCGGCGAAAUGUUGCGUUAAGGGAAAGGUCGUUUCUAAGCCCUGCACAGCGUGUUCCUAAAUACGUUUUGAAUAAGCGCUGUCUCCCAACGGAGGCUACGGUUCCACAGAGGGUGACAGACCCGUGUGGGCACGCGUAUAUAUGUGCGUGGGUUCGGCUUUUAUUCCCUGAGAGUCGCGUUGCUUGAGCAUGCAGCGCUAAGCAGGUCGUAAACUCGACCUAAGACUAAAUAUUUCCACAGAACCGAUAGUAAACAAGUACCGUGAGGGAAAGUUGAAAAGCACUCUGAAGAGAGAGUCAAAAGACCGUGAAACCGUUUAGAGUAUAAGCCAAUGGUAUUUCGGAAGGCCGGGAGCACCGACUUCCCUUUUGGGAGACGGUAUCGUGUGUGUAAAAAAGAUGGGGGUCGUGCAAGAAAGUGGCAUUGAGUUGAUAUCACGGCAUCGACAACUUGCGGGUCUCUGACAGUGGUAACAGGGAAGGUUCUAAUGAGGAUCCGACCCGAGGCUGGACUUGAAUGCAAGCGACUCUCAAUCGACACACAAACGAGUGUCUCCAUACGGCCCACCACAACUCUUUACGAAGUCACCCACAUGACACGGCGAGUCGAUGCGAGCCCCUGUUCAAUAUGCUGCGGGCAGGGCCGGGCGACUCAAUCGUGUUUCCAACGUGUGCUGGUACGAUCUUCUGUGAAGGUUGCUUUCUGACCAUCCUGAUACGUGGAUGUUGGCCUCUUAGACUGUUGGAGUCCGGCUUACUGGCCCAGCCAGGUGCUAGUUAGAACUGCAUUCGUGGCGGAUGAUUGGUGUCCAUUCCGAAACCAUUGGUCACGUCUCGAAACACGGGCCAAGGAGCAUAGCAUGUGCGCAAGUCUAAGGGUCUCACAAAACCUGGAGGCGAAGUGAAAGCAAGUGGUGUGUCUGUCGCUCGCCAGAGAGGCAGGCAGCUCUGUGAUGCACGUAAUUCCUACGUGGAUGAAUGCGUCUCAGGCUUAAUACCGGGCUGAUCCUUACGUAAACAAGACGAAUGUCGCUACGACGGCGCAAGCUCCAGGCUCUCAACAUGGGACGCCGUCUCUAUGGGAGCACUGUGUAGCGUGCAUGCUAUGACCCGAAAGAUAGUGAACUAUGCCUGGCGA
rnacentral:rRNA from 1 species